GCGGGGAUAACUCAAUUGGGAGAGCAUCAGACUGGAGAUCUAGAGGUCACGUGUUUGAUCCACGCUCAUUGCA
rnacentral:tRNA from 1 species